AUCCCCAACAUCACUAUCGUAUUAGCAAACAAGCCGGCCAGGGAAACUGCAACUAAACAAACUGGGGGGAAAAGCCAACAAAACUCAUUCGCGUUACCUUGUUCAGCGCACCGAUCGCUGUUUGCGGAUGGCAACAAGGGGAUGUUUCGGCCCUGCCUCUGCUGACUCAAAAGCAGCCGCCGCGCAGUGAUAGCGCAGAAAACGCUCAUGGGCUGUGGCGUUAUCGGUUUGGCUUGUUAUGAUGUGUAAAUUUAAGCAAUAAUAAAAAUCGCCUAACGACUGAUA